rnacentral:rRNA from 1 species
ACUCCUACGGGUGGCUGCAGUGGGGAAUAUUGGACAAUGGGGGCAACCCUGAUCCAGCAAUGCCGCGUGUGUGAAGAAGGCCUUAGGGUUGUAAAGCACUUUCGUUAGCGAAGAAAGGUUUAUGGCUAAUACCUAUGAAUUUGACAUUAGCUAAAGAAGAAGCACCGGCUAACUCCGUGCCAGCAGCCGCGGUAAUACGGAGGGUGCAAGCGUUAUUCGGAAUGACUGGGCGUAAAGCGCACGCAGGCGGUUAUUUAAGUCGGAUGUGAAAGCCCCGGGCUUAACCUGGGAAUUGCAUUUGAAACUGGGUAACUAGAGUAUGUCAGAGGAAGGCGGGAUUUCCAGUGUAGCAGUGAAAUGCGUAGAGAUUGGAAGGAACACCGAUGGCGAAGGCAGCCUUCUGGGGCAAUACUGACGCUCAUGUGCGAAAGCGUGGGUAGCAAACAGGAUUAGAUACCCUGGUAGUCCACGCCCUAAACGAUGUCAACUAGGUGUUGGGCACUUAAGUGCUCGGUACCGCAGCUAACGCAUUAAGUUGACCGCCUGGGGAGUACGGCCGCAAGGUUGAAACUCAAAGAAAUUGACGGGGACCCGCACAAGCGGUGGAGCAUGUGGUUUAAUUCGAUGCAACGCGAAGAACCUUACCAGGCCUUGACAUCCAGAGAACUAAGCAGAGAUGCUAUGGUGCCUUCGGGAACUCUGAGACAGGUGAUGCAUGG